AGUGAACGCUGGCGGUAGGCCUAACACAUGCAAGUCGAACGGCAGCACAGUAAGAGCUUGCUCUUACGGGUGGCGAGUGGCGGACGGGGGAGGAAUACAUCGGAAUCUACUUUUUCGUGGGGGAUAACGUAGGGAAACUUACGCUAAUAACGCAUUCGACCUACGGGUGAAAGCAGGGGAUCUUCGGACCUUGCGCGAUUGAAUGAGCCGAUGUCGGAUUAGCUAGUUGGCGGGGUAAAGGCCCACCAAGGCGACGAUCCGUAGCUGGUCUGAGAGGAUGAUCAGCCACACUGGAACUGAGACACGGUCCAGACUCCUACGGGAGGCAGCAGUGGGGAAUAUUGGACAAUGGGCGCAAGCCUGAUCCAGCCAUACCGCGUGGGUGAAGAAGGCCUUCGGGUUGUAAAGCCCUUUUGUUGGGAAAGAAAAGCAGCAGGUUAAUACCCCGCUGUUCUGACGGUACCCAAAGAAUAAGCACCGGCUAACUUCGUG
rnacentral:rRNA from 1 species